GACGAACGCUGGCGGCGUGCUUAACACAUGCAAGUCGAACGGAAAGGCCCUGCUUUUGUGGGGUGCUCGAGUGGCGAACGGGUGAGUAACACGUGAGUAACCUGCCCUUGACUUUGGGAUAACUUCAGGAAACUGGGGCUAAUACCGGAUAGGAGCUCCUGCUGCAUGGUGUGGGUUGGAAAGUUUCGGCGGUUGGGGAUGGACUCGCGGCUUAUCAGCUUGUUGGUGGGGUAGUGGCUUACCAAGGCUUUGACGGGUAGCCGGCCUGAGAGGGUGACCGGCGACAUUGGGACUGAGAGACGGCCCAGACUCCAACGGGAGGCAGCAGUGGGGAAUAUUGCACAAUGGGCGGAAGCCUGAUGCAGCAACGCCGCGUGCGGGAUGACGGCCUUCGGGUUGUAAACCGCUUUCGCCUGUGACGAAGCGUGAGUGACGGUAAUGGGUAAAGAAGCACCGGCUAACUACGUG
rnacentral:rRNA from 1 species